AGUCACUUGCCGGCUCUCAGAGGGCAUUUCACAUAGGAAAAAAACGUGGUUCCUGCAGACGGUUGCUGGUAUGUGGAGUCCCCCCGCCCGCCGCGGGGCUUACUGAACCUGUGCAGUAGGUGAAAUCUCUACUUUUACAACAAAGGAAAGCUUGAUGGUUCAUUGUUAAACAAAACCAUAUUUGUUUGUUUGUUGUCAAUUUAUACAUAAGAAUAAGAAAGAGUAUGUUAAAGCAGCUUCUCUGCAGUACUAGUACUGUGCUCCAAGAAAGGCAGGUUUAUACUUAGCUGUGGUCCUCAGUGGAGUCCCCAGACCUGCAAUAUCUGGGAACAGCUAAGAAAUUCAAAUUCUCAGGCUCCAGUGCAGACUUAAGAGAUCAGAAACUCUAUCUAGGGGUGGAGUUAGCAAUCUGGACUGUGACCAGCCCUCCAGGUGAUUGUGAGAAUGCAUCCUAAGACAGAGAACCACAGAGCCACAGAAAGAAGAGGCCCUGUGAAGGGAGACCCGAGGGUAUGGAGAGUUGUUGGCUCCAGCUUGGGCGCACUCGUUCUCUCUUUCUGUUUCUUUCUUCCCUCUUCCCUUCUGUUCUCUUUUCCCCUUCCGCCUCCUCUUCCUCCCCCUCCUCCUCCUCUUCCUCCUCCCCCUCCUCCUCCUCCUUCUUCUUCUUCUUCUCUCUCUCUCUCCCUUUCUCCCUCCCUCCCUCCCUCCCUCCCUCCUCUCUCUCCUGUCUGCUGUCAUUGGGAAGCUGUGUGGUCAGCCAGUCAAAAAGCAGAUUUCAGAGUCAGGAGUUCCAGGGUUCACAGUUGAGCUCCAUUCCCUACUGGGUGACUGAGGGCAGUUUCUAAACUUCUCUGAUCCUGUUCUGCCCUCUGAAGAAGGGGAAAAUAAUACAUCCUGUGUACGAUUGUUAUUGGGAAUCAAUGAGCUAGUGUAUGGAAGAGGCUGCAUGUGGUUCUUGGUACAAAGAAGCAGAUUAUUAUCAGUUACAUGUAGGUGAGGCAUCCAAAAUGCUAGGAGAAAAAACCUGAGCCUUUACACGGUAUCGCUGUGUCCAUUGUUACCUUAUCAACUCCCAUAGCAUGCUCACUUUUUUUCAUAGAAAUUGUCUAUUUUCCAUGAUUAUUCAGUGAAUCCACAACAAUCUCAUUCUUGGUUAGGGACUCAUUAAAGUGUUAUCAGUCUUAUGGAAUUAUUUAAAACCUGUGAACUCCCCCAAAUAAUGCUUGAGGGUUCCAACCUUCCCUGCCCCCUCACAAUACAGCUUCAGAAGCUGAUUUGAUCAAGUGAAACCACUGUGCCUCCUACUUCAUUUUCCCGGGUUUGCUGCUUUUCUAAGUAUGUCUCACAAAAUGUAUGCUGCUCUUUUUUUCUUUUAGUCUUCAUAUUGUAUAUUAGAUCCCUAGACUUCUUUGUUCUACACAUCUGCUGCUCUGUAUUCUGACCUACAUCUGCAUACUGCUUUAAUAGAAUGGAUGUUUGCAGACGUGACUGUGAUAUUGGAAUAUGGAAGGAUCCAUCCAGGGUCAGGAAGCAGCAGGCUGGCUUCAUUCUCAGUGUUUGUUUUCUGGGUCUUUGAAGGAGAGGUGUUGCAGGGAAAAAGGUCGUGCAUCAGGAAGUGUCAUUUAAAAAGGACCUGAGUUGGGCUGAGUUAUCAGCAAAUACACGCCAUGGCUGUGCUCCCCACCCCCCACCGUACACUAGCAGGGCAGCAGCUCUGAUUGUCUAACGAGCAGCAGAGCCGCCCAGCAGCAACCACAUUAGGAAGGAAUCGGAAACCAACGCUCCGCUGGCUGUCACCCCUUACCCACUUGCUGUCAGGUAGAGUACUUGUUUAUUAUUAAUUAUCUAUUUUCAGUAUCCUGCACCUGGGGGUGAACAUCAUCGGUGCUAAGACUUUUUAGCCUAUGGGGAUCUCUGCUGAGCACUAAAACCACGGGCUUCCCCUUGGGAAGAGGCAGAAAAUACACUUCCCAGGUUCUCACUGCCAGCUCUGACAGGCUGAACUGCAGUUGGAGAAGGAAACUGAGGACUGGGCUCCCUUCCUGUCUCCUAAGCCAGGGCAGAGCUGGGCUUCGGGUGAUGGCAGGAGACAGAGAAGCAGGUAACUUCCCUGGAGGGAGCUGAGCAGGGCAAGUCCCCUCUUCCAGGGACAUUCCAGGCAUGACAGAGGUGCACAGGCACAGAAGCCCUGCUGCUUCGGCAAGCUAGGCUGCUCAUAGCUGUGUCUACCCCUUCCCGGGACGUGGACUGUGGGGAGUGUCUAUUCAGGACCAUCUAGAAGAGUUCAGAGCCUUUCAAACUUCUUUUCAACAUGCGUUCCUGACUGAGGACACAGCUCAAAGCUGCCUCUCAGGCUUAGAAACACUUCUUAAUUUUCACUGUCGAGGGCUAGCUUUGAGUCAGAUCCUUUCACCUCAUCAAAAAGGGUGUCAGCACACAAGCGCUCCGAAAUUACUCGCUUGGCUUUCUGCUCAGGGUGACUGUGGUAAAGAAGUUACAGCCCACAGGCAAACCCCAGUAAUUGGCCUUGGCCUGGAGCCACACCUUGGAAGCCAUCUCCCAGCGGGAGUGAAAGGACUGUGGGGACAGGGCAUCAAUGUCUGCCCAAGGCAAAAUAGGGCGAACAGUAGCCUGCCUGUGGCACCCUCCCCACCUCUCUUCUAGAGCAGUAACCUUUCAUUUUCUCAGCCUCUGCAUGGGAAGUCUCAUUUAGGCUCCUUAGUUCACCCACACCUUGCUACGACAAACAAAAAAUGAUAACCAUUACAAUAUAUGGAGUCCUUACUACGUGAGCAGCACUGUAUAAGGUGUUUUCCAUGUAUCAUCGUGAUCUUCACAACAGCUGCUCAAGGAACGCAUCAUAAUGGCCCCUUUGGAGGGAACUACAGGGACCCAGGGAGGCUAAGCUACCCUUUAAGGUAAAACUGGCCAGGCCAGGAUUUGAACCCAAGCCAGCCUGACUCAACAGCAAGUGCGGUUUCCCCAACACUAUACCAUCUACCAUUCCCAGACUUCUCAGGCUUAGGCUAUGUCUGGUUUCUACGACAUCAUAAAAUAAACAUUAUUAAUUCAUGAAGAAGCAAAGGACGUGAGCCAUGGGAGUCAUUGGGUAGAUGAAUAUUGAAUGACUGAAUGGACCGGAGCUUCUGUCAGUUCCCUCUCAUCCAAAGACUCAGCACCUCCAAGGCUCAGACUCCCAGGGCACUGCUACCUCAGAGAUCUCUCCAGGCUCUGCUCACAGGCACUCACCCACUGCCUGACCUUGCAGGCUCCUGGAAUUAAGCCAUGAGUGGUUUCCUGUCUCUUGACAACAUCUACCCAGAACUCAGACUUUGGUUUUCCUUUGUCCCUAGACCACAGCCUGAGGCAGCCAAACCCAUUUCCUUGGGGAUCCAGCGCAAACCAGAGAGUGUGGACAGGCCGAUGGAAGAAUGUUGGACCAGCUUUAAGAAUGGGCUGUUCUAAGUCAUGAAUAUUGUAGGAAGCAGCUCUAAGGACCACAGGGCUGGAGGGUGCACAGGAAGGGGCCAGUGCAUACAGGUGUCCAAACAGUGUCAUCCGGUGUCCUGACAUGCGGCCCCAAUGGACUGAUCCAGGGUGGAAAGGAAGAGUGAGAAGAAAUCAGACAGAAGAAUUCAGGAGAUGUGGCAACAGAGUGGAUGUAGCAGAAGGGACAUAGAGAGUGCCUAAAGAUGAGUCUUUGGUCAGCAUGUGAUGAAAAGAAUGAAGACACUGGGGAAGUGGGGAGCAGAAGCGGAUGUGGGCCCAGGAGGAAGAAGAAUUUGGGACCUGGGAGUUUGGGAGAAAAGCAAAGAAGGCCUGGGGUUGAGUGAGACACAGGGUCCCAGCCAGCAGCUAGAACACGAGGAGAAAAGAAGAAAGGACUCACUGAAAGGGAAUUGCUGAAGAGGACCUUUAUAUCUGAGGGCUUUACUUUGUGCUUUGUAAUUUCCCUUUGUCAUCCUCAUCUUUUAGGAAACUGAUUAACCACUAUAAUUUACGUCGUAUUAGCAACGCCUUAGAGAAUGAAGGAGGAACUGUACUUAUUCUUGGAGCGUAGCCUGGAGAGAGGCAGAAGCCUUCAGGAGCUGUUACUAGGUAGUAGGAAAUCACUCUCUCUAGAGUCCUCUGAAACAGUCUGGAAGAGAAUGGAUUUCCUGCUGUUGUGCAGGAUGAGGGUUUGAGUACAGUAAUUUAAUUUACUUAUUUAAAAAAUACUGGAAGAUGGGGAGGGAGGAUGGGUCAGAUUAUAAUAUGUUCAUAUGUCUAAGGCAGGAAAUUAGAUACAAGAUGAAAUCUAAGAAAGUUCUGUGAUUGGGUUUCUCCCACAGAAGGAGGAGAAAAUCCCUGCAUCUCUGGUUAUGCAAAUAAUAUGCAAAUUACAGUGAUUACAUACUUGCUUAGAAAAUUUUGAUUACCUCAUUUUGACUUCAGGCAGAGUUGGGACACCAAAAGGGAAUGUUUGUCAACAGUCCAGAGUUGUUAGAUUUCUUCCAGGGGAAAUGAAAGGGUAAAUUUCUUACCAAACACAAGGGUUUUAAAUAAGUUUUUCAAACUCCUUAAUGUCUCCCUUCCACAAAGCAUACCAAAAAAAAAAAAAAAUUACAAUAGAGUCAAAAUGUGAUCUGUAGACAAAAUGAAGGACAAAUGGUUUUCCCCCCUAAAUUUUACUCCAGGGUACAUUUUCUCCUCUUUCUUUGUCGAACAAUGUGAAGUAAGGGCUUGGAUUUUGUCCUGCAGAUGGUUUUGCAAUCAGUUCUAGCCAUUUCUCUAAGUCUGGGCUUCAAAUCUGUCAGUUGAGAGUGAUACAGUUGCCUGUCCCAUGGUGGUGUUAAGUGAGGCUGAGAGCAUCAAACAAAUGUCCCAGCUCCUGCCACAGUUGCAUCCUUGACACGUUCCAGUGGUGCCCGAGCAACACUGCAAAGACCCCCUGGGAUGUCUGUUGGCAAGAAAAGGUGGAGCCACUGCCCUGGGGGGCUGGGAAGGGAGUUAGAGAACUACUGUCUUAACCUAAAAUUUGGGCAGAAUCUGCCUUGGAUCAAAUUUAAAAUCUUUUCUGAAUAUUAGCUGACUUGAUUAGAAACUAGUUGUCUCUCCCCUUCUCAGCAGAAGACUGUGGAAUGUGUCUCCUAGCAACAGAGAUGUGUUACUAUCUUAUGGUAGGACUGUUUUAUAAAGCAGCAAUCUCCAACCUUUUUGGCACCAGAGACCAGUUUCAUGGAAGAUGAUUUCUCCACAGACAGGGAAGUGGGGGGAUGGUUUCAGGAUGACUCAUGCGCAUUACAUUUAUUGUGUACUUUAUUUCUAUUAUUAUUACAUUGUAAUAUAUAAUGAAAUAAUUAUACAACUCACCAUAAUGUAGAAUCAGUGGAACCCCUGAGCUUGUUUUCCUGCAACUAGAUGGUUCUAUCUGGGGGGUGAUGGGAGACACUGACAGAUGAUCAGGCAUUAGAUUCUCAUAAGAAGUGCACAACCUAGAUCCCUCACAUGUGCAGUUUACAGUACGGUUCACGCUCUUUUGAGAAUCUUAUGCUGCUGCUGAGGUGGAAGGUGGAGGUGGAGGUCGAAGGUGGAGGUGGAGCUCAGGCAGUAAUGUGAGCAAUGGGGAAUGGCUGUAAAUACAGAUGAAGCUUCACUCACUUGCCUGCCACUCAAAACAGGCCACAGACCAGUACCGUGUAGAAGUACCAAUCUGUAGCCUGGGGGUUGAGGACCGCAGCUAUAAAGGACACUCAUUCUGCUGUCCGCACUUCUCCCAAUAACUACCAGGAAAGGGUCACAGUCAGAAUGAAUUUAGCCAUUCACCUUCAGUACCAAUGCAUUGUCCUAAAGAGGUAACAGUUCCACUGGCUUCAAAUCUUUUGUAUCAUUUGUGUCUUCCUUCCCUCUCUUCUCUUCCUCUCUCAUUCACACUUUUCUCUUCUUUCUCCCCAAUCUCUCAACUCCUUUCCUUCCUUGCUUCCCUGACCACUACCUUUUCAACAUCUGUCUUUUGACCUUUCCCUUUCCCUUCUUUAUUCCUAUCCCUGCCACCAUCCUGUGUAAAGUGCUAUCAGUUCUACUCCAUUCUUCCCUCUACCUCUGCCCUUAACCCUAGUUCCAGGUCCAGGUAGUUCCUUACCCCACCCUCUGGACAAGGCUGCUUCUGGGCUAUAAUCUCUUUUCAAGAUAUUUUAUCCUACAUGCAGCUGCCAAGUUAUUUCCCCUACAACAGCAAUCUAUUCAUAACACAGCCCUGCUCAAAAACCUUUAAGGGUUUACAUUUCCUAUGGAGUAAAAACCAAGUCGUAAGCCUCAUGUUCCAGAGCCAAGACAGUAUGGUUCUAUUCAUCUUUUGCAGCCUGGGCAUGCUCUGGUUUUCUUUAGACAUGCACUGUUCCUGUCAAAAUGCCUCUUAUCCACCUGGGUCUCUUCUCCAGCUGUUUCCUCUGCCUAAAGUUCCCUCACCCCAAUUCCUCCAUCUCUGCACAUCUAAAACCACUAGGGCUACCUCAAGCUUAGCCUGUUCUGUGCAACCUUUCCUGAUAUCUCUACCUAAUCCUUCUUCUGAACCCCUAUAGAACUUAUCCCCAUAAUGAGGUCACCCUAACAACAAUCAACCAGGUGCUGCCAGCUCUGUCCCACACAUCAAUAUGACCUUCAGCCCCUGCCUAAGUUCCAUUGUAGAAGUGUCUCUAGAAGUUCCCAGGGUGCCUCACAUGUACUCCCUGAAUAAGGACACUUCUUUCAGGUCUUGCCAGUGCUCUGCCAUCUUCCCCCAAGCAUCUGCUGGGCACCAUUGCUCCUGACACAGCUAGGGAGCUCCUACCACGUCAAGGUUUACAGUGUUCUGGAGUAAGUUGCAGAAUGAACCUGCAACUCCUCCUUACUGAGGAGUCAGAGUCCACUCUAUCAGGGAGAUCUCAAAAGAAUGUUGUUGAUGCUCUAAUGGUCUUUGAGGUACUGUAAAACAGUUCUUUCUGCUUAUUCCCCCAAGCCCCAUCCCUAUGGAGCCAUAGGAUUCCAAUGUUAGGUAAAUGUGACAGAGCAUUGUGCUUUACUUGGAAUUGACCCUUCUGCCCAAAAUGCUGCAUUCUUACUGAGUCAGGUAUGUUAUACCUGCUCUGUCUUCACACAUGGCCUUCGUCAGCCCCUAAUAUAAGUAAAUGAGGGGCUGGACUGCCUAUAUAUUUUCUAGAAAAUGUAGUCUUAAUGAGUCACUGUUAUGGUUGGAAAUGUAUCCUAUCCCUCAAGUAUGCUGGGGAAGAAAAGUGGUUAAGACAUACUAGAUUCUAUGAUACUCCAGAACUGCACUGCUCAACACAGUGGCUACUGGCCACAUGAGGCUAUAGAGCACUUGAAAUUUAGCUACUCCCAACUGAGAGGUGCUAUGAGUAUAAAAUUCAUAUCAGGUUUCAAAGACUUACUCCUCCAAAAAAGGGUGUAAAAUAAGUCAUUAAUAACUUUUGUAACGUUGACUACAUGUUGAAAUAAUACUUUGUAUUAGGUCAAAUAACAUGCCAUUAAAAUGGAUUUCACCUCUUCUUACUUUCUUAGUAUGGUUUCUAGAAAACUUAAAAUUACAUACAUGGUUUGCAUUUGUGGCACACCUUAUAUUUCUAUUGCACAGUGCUGCUCUAGAGCAGCUCUCUAGAGCACUUGUUAGAAAUGCAAACCCUUGGGCCCCAGCUCAGACCUACUGAGUCAGAAACUCCAGUAGGGCCCAGCAAUCUGUGGCAAACAAGUUCUCCAGCUAGUCCUGGCUCACACUGACAUUAAGCUCUCCACCAAGAAGGUAAGCUCUAAAGCACUGAAAAUAAGAUCCAGAGCAUAACGGGAUCUCAAUAAGUUUUGUUAAAUGAUUUAAUCUUGAUGGUUCCUGUUAAGCUCAAAAUUAUUCUGUCCAUCAGUCAGUCAGUGAGAGAGAAAGUAAACAACAAACUUCGUCCCCAACCUUGGAAGAACAGCUCGCUGGUAACUUCAAAAGUUGCCACUAACAGCCGGGGAGAAUUGCAAGUCAUUAUCAGAACACCUUUAAAAAUUCUCAAUAGAAAUGUAUGAAUACAAUGGCUGUGCCAGAAGCAAGAGAUAGUCAGACAUGAAGAAAGUAUAAAGAAAAAUAAAAACAUGCUAAGUUAUAAAACUGGUCUGGGUGCGAAGCCAGGCUGGCUGAUGCUUUGCAAUGGAGUAGCUCUGAAGCUGCCUCUUCCAGUGCCUGUGCCCUACUGGACAAAGAUAGCCACAGCCUCAGUCCCUCUUUUGGUACAGAUACCAAAAGGUCUUGAUCAACUGGGACUUCACCGAUACAGCCCUCAAGAGCCUGCAGUCCUUGCAUAUCUCAACUUUACCCCUUCAAGCAUUCUGAAAUUCACCUCAAGUUUCCAUUCCUUGUGACAUGUGCCAUUAUCAAGAUUCAUUAGUUCGUGACCGUGCUUGAAGAGCACACCACAAAAUAUGCCAUGCACACGACAAAGCAUGUCCUCUUUAAGAAUGAGUGAGAAGUGUAUGGAACAGAAUCAAAACUGUCAGAGUGGCCUUGCUUUGAGCACUCCCUAAGUGAAAUAAUGUUCUCCAAACAGCAGUCUCCUGGAAACUGAUAACCAUGUUUAACAUACUUAGUGGCAUUAAAACUAUCAUCCAUGUACUUAUUUUUUGCCUUUUUAAAAACUGACAUAUAAUAUUUUACAUAUUUAUGGGGUACAUGUGAUAUUUUGUUACGUGGAUCAAAUCAGUUUUGGGGGUGUCCAUCCCUUGAGUAUUUAUCAUCUCUGUGUUGGGAACAUUUCAAGUCAUAGCUACUUUGAAAUAUCAUGCAUUUAUUAAAAGUAAUUCAUGCACAUUGUAAAACAAGAUUAAACAAGGCAGAAAUGGAUAAAGUAAAAAAGUUCUCUUCUCUGACUCAGUCCCAAUCCCUAGACUAUUCUAGAUUUUUAAAAUGUAGAUAUUAAUAGAAAUACAAAUAGAUAUUUUUUUUUAAAUGAGAUCAUAUGUGCAUUCAAUUUUGUAACCUGCCUGUCUCACUUGCUCGUAUGUCGUGGACAACUUUCAGUGUUGUUUAUGUAGAUUUACCUCUUUCCAUUUGAUGUUUGCACAGUGUUCUACUGCAUGGAUAGUUUAUUUAACCACACAUUCAUCUAACAGUAGUACCCAAAACAUAGAAAGCUCUCAAUAAAUACUGGCUCUUAUGUAUAAUCAUAGAAAUGUUUUUAUAUUUCCUUAUUUAUACUUCCU
rnacentral:lncRNA from 1 species